ACAAAGGACUCUAACCCUGAAUAAGCCUGAUCCCACCUGAUCUCGGAAGCUAAGCAGGGUUGGGCCUGGUUAGUACUUGGAUGGGAGACCACUUAGGAAGACCAGGUGCUGUAGGUG
rnacentral:rRNA from 1 species